ACUUUGUUUGAACUGAUCUACACAUUUCUUGUUUGAUGGCUAUGGUUUCUGGAUGGGCUAGAUCCAUGACUGAGAAGCUGGUUUGUUCUCUGUGCUUGCUAGCUGUUUUGUUGAAGCAGAGUU